CGAUGUAGCGCACGGCUGGCGGGAGGGGAGGAAGACAGUCAUCAUCGCUCUGCUUUCCCCAUUCAGCGGACUUUACCGUCGAGUACGCUCUGAUUUUUUGCUUCUGCUCACCUGACGUCAUCGCCUCAGUCUUCUCCUCCUCCUGAGCCUCGUUUCCGAUCCAUACGAAGACCUGCAGGAAAGCCACCACUUCAGAUCACCCCCAAAAACAGAAACCUCACCCCCUCCAUCACCAGCCACCGCUUCACUCUCAGAUCACCCCCAAAAACAGAAACCUCACCCCCUCCAUCCCCAGGAUGGCCUCCUAGGGAACGAUAAACAGAAAGGAGCGUGAGAGGUUCUGGGGGUUCAGUGGAGACCUGGGCGUGGUUUGGGUGCGCUCAAACCUACAGAACGCAAGCCUCUCCACUGCAUCCUGGACUGCUCAUUGGGCAGAGAGCGUCAUCACAGCCGGCUCUUUGAUUUGAUUGGUCGGCAGACGGGGGGGACUCACGAUGAAG